GCCGUCAUCUUCAGAAGAUGAGUCUCGCAUCGAUGGAUUUUAUGUCGGCUAUAAGCUUGUGUCCAGCAAAGAACCAUUUACUUUUGUCCCUGUUGACAAUGCACGCUUAAAUUCAGAACAAUUUUACGAACUAAGUAAUUUAAAUCGAAAUGUGGAAUACAGCUUCAUACUUCAGUCAUUCAACAAAAGAGGAGCAAGUCCGCCAUCUGAAAUCAUAUCCGCAAGAACUUUACAGUUUGAUAGACCAUUACCACCAGUAAUUAAGAAUCAUUACACAACUUCAACUUCUAUAAAAAUUACUUGGGAGUACAGAAGUAUACCAAAUGCACCUGUUACAGGAUUUAUAUUGCAUCAUCGAAGUGAUGGAACUUUAUGGCAAGAAACUGUAAUUCCAGGGGAAAGGACAGUUUACACAUUGCACGAUUUGUUAUGUGGGACAAAAUAUUACUGCUUUCUGGUGGCAACAAACAGUGCCGGAAGAGGAAAUGGGAGCGAAACAAUAUCCACUAAAACAGCUGGAAGUG